ensembl:lncRNA
CAAGGAAAGGCCCUUCAUCCUGAGCUGAUGAAUAGUCUCCCUUUCCCCGUGAGAUAAGCAGCCUACAGGGGACUUUAAGGAACUUGGCAGAGGAAUGCAGUGAGGUCAAGUGCCAAGCGUACUCCACCAUUGUACCCUAUUCUUGCCCCUCCUUCCUUCCUCAUGGCUCCCCUUGUCCCUUGCUCCUGGUUCCUGGAGUCAUAAUCCCUGGUAACGAUAAAAUAUGUAGUGUUCUACAACUUGCUACGGGUAUUAUUUGACUUAAUGAUGUCAUAAAGCAAAGUUCAUUCAGCAAAAGCCAUAACUUGCAAAUUCCAGUGUCUUCCCAUCCUAGCAUUUUGUGGUAUAAGUCCUUUUGAUGCUGGCUGGUGUCAGUAUGCUGCAGAGCCCAGGCAGCCUCCACCGUCGGUGUCCUGUGACUUCAUAGUGUGCCACAACAUUAAGCUCUGAUGCCUAUUCAAUGAAUGUGUGGCUUACGAUGUCUUCAAUGUCUUGGGCCCAUUAGGAUGAAUGUGGAAGUGAAUCCUCUAAGUAUUCACCUCUUAGACUCUCCCCUGGAGAACACUGCUUCCUCAAUCCCAUGUUCAACCUUUCUGAACCAGGACUCCAUCCUUCCCCAUGUUCUAUGAACAAGGCAAGAUUGGAAAUAAACAACCAUAUGAAUACUUCUUUCUCUUUCCCCAAAGGAAGUCUUAAGCUCUAUAAAUCAAGAGGCAGGGAGCAUUUCACAAAGCCACUCAACCACACAUUUCAAUUUACAUCUCAUUGAUCCUAUGUUAGCAUGUAGGGAGAGAGUUAUUAGAGACCAUGGCUCAGUGCUUCCCGCAGGCACCUCUGUCUCUCCCAGAAGACCUUGUCACUGUGUGGGGGGGCAUGGACAGCCAGGUAGACAUAGGUGUCAAGCCCUCCUGGUGACAUUCAGGAGUUGGAGACAAAUCACUGUGGAGGAAGAUCCAAGUUAGGAGAGAAGUCACCUCUCUUGCCACAUUCCACAGACAUUUCUCUUCGGUCAUCAAAGAAAACAGGCUUCAAGCAUCAUGGGGACCAUAGAGCUCCCACUCUAAAUAAUACUCAGAAGAAAUACAAUUUAUUACUCACUGACUAGUCUUCUUUUAAUUGGAAAAUCCACAUGAAAAAAUCUUAGGAAAAAGAUAGAUGAUCAGCUGUAGUCAUGUUCACCCAAUACAGGUGCAGGGACCUGGGCGGGGCAGUUAUCGAGCAAGCAUGGUGUGGUCUGAUUCGAGGGUCCUAUCAGUGGCUGUGCUGCUCCUCCCUGUGCCACUCAGAUUGGUAAUUUUCACACUAUCUCCUUUUAUAGCCCCAGGUGUGUGCACACAGAGCCUCGUUGCUGGCUUUCUCUUUUGUGCCUAUCAUGCAGCAGAUUGCACAGCUGGAAACAGUCUGGAUCCCUUCACUCCUAAAGCUGGUGUCCUGGAGUACGGAAGUCUUUAUCAAGUCCUUCUCUUCUGGACUCAGGAAACAUGAGGGAAUAUUUAAACAUGAAUUACAACAUAUGACACGUGGCAAGCUAACAUAGCUAUAAACAAGAUAAAAUUUCAAAGACUAUGGAAACACCAAAGAACAAAUAAAGAGCCCUGAAUUUGGGUAGCAAGUGAACCUGUGUUCAGUCAGACACGAGGGACCACAGCUGAUCUGAGAGUCAUGGAGUCCCCAGGGACCAGGCCCCAGGCAAUUCUUGGGCCAAGAAACUGUUCUUACUGAGGCUUGGCAAUGUCUCUGGGACUGAGUGCUACCCGACACAGUGCUUCAUGGUUGGCAAUCAAGCUCCCCAGUUAGCAACCCCCAAAGAGAC